rnacentral:rRNA from 1 species
CCUGGCUCCGAUGAACGCUGGCGGCGCGCCUAACACAUGCAAGUCGAACGAUAGAUGAGGAGCUUGCUCUUCAAAUCGAGUGGCGAACGGGUGAGUAACGCGUGAGGAACCUGCCUCAAAGAGGGGGACAACAGUUGGAAACGACUGCUAAUACCGCAUAAGCCCACGGCUCGGCAUCGAGCAGAGGGAAAAGGAGUGAUCCGCUUUGAGAUGGCCUCGCGUCCGAUUAGCUAGUUGGUGAGGUAACGGCCCACCAAGGCGACGAUCGGUAGCCGGACUGAGAGGUUGAACGGCCACAUUGGGACUGAGACACGGCCCAGACUCCUACGGGAGGCAGCAGUGGGGAAUAUUGCACAAUGGGGGAAACCCUGAUGCAGCGACGCCGCGUGGAGGAAGAAGGUCUUCGGAUUGUAAACUCCUGUUGUUGAGGAAGAUAAUGACGGUACUCAACAAGGAAGUGACGGCUAACUACGUGCCAGCAGCCGCGGUAAAACGUAGGUCACAAGCGUUGUCCGGAAUUACUGGGUGUAAAGGGAGCGCAGGCGGGAGAACAAGUUGGAAGUGAAAUCCAUGGGCUCAACCCAUGAACUGCUUUCAAAACUGUUUUUCUUGAGUAGUGCAGAGGUAGGCGGAAUUCCCGGUGUAGCGGUGGAAUGCGUAGAUAUCGGGAGGAACACCAGUGGCGAAGGCGGCCUACUGGGCACCAACUGACGCUGAGGCUCGAAAGUGUGGGUAGCAAACAGGAUUAGAUACCCUGGUAGUCCACACCGUAAACGAUGAUUACUAGGUGUUGGAGGAUUGACCCCUUCAGUGCCGCAGUUAACACAAUAAGUAAUCCACCUGGGGAGUACGACCGCAAGGUUGAAACUCAAAGGAAUUGACGGGGGCCCGCACAAGCAGUGGAGUAUGUGGUUUAAUUCGACGCAACGCGAAGAACCUUACCAAGUCUUGACAUCCUGCGACGCACAUAGAAAUAUGUGUUUCCUUCGGGAGCAGAGACAGGUGGUGCAUGGUUGUCGUCAGCUCGUGUCGUGAGAUGUUGGGUUAAGUCCCGCAACGAGCGCAACCCUUAUGGUCAGUUACUACGCAAGAGGACUCUGGCCAGACUGCCGUUGACAAAACGGAGGAAGGUGGGGAUGACGUCAAAUCAUCAUGCCCUUUAUGACUUGGGCUACACACGUACUACAAUGGCGUUAAACAAAGAGAAGCAAGACCGCGAGGUGGAGCAAAACUCAGAAACAACGUCCCAGUUCGGACUGCAGGCUGCAACUCGCCUGCACGAAGUCGGAAUUGCUAGUAAUCGUGGAUCAGCAUGCCACGGUGAAUACGUUCCCGGGCCUUGUACACACCGCCC